rnacentral:piRNA from 1 species
UGCAUGCUGUUGAAUUGGAUCCCAUACCUGU